GUAAGGAGAAGUAGCUGAUGCAUUGCAUCGUGGAGACACUGAGUCCAACAGGUGGAGACCAAUAUGUAACACUGGCCUGCUUGCUGAGAGAUGGCACCUGACCUCUGAACACAAAAGCUGCCUGAGCUCCGCGUCCUGUCAGACCAGCCUGGGGGCAUUGGAUUCUCAUCGGAGCUCAACCCUAUGGUGCACAUGCCGGGCGUCCAGGCUGCUGCUUCUCUGAAUUGUCCCCAACCCCUACCUGUACCUUGAAAUCAUUUUCAGGUGGUUGAGUCAAGCAUGGGAGGCCAAGGAUGCCCAGGUGACAGUGUUGGCAGAAGGUCGACGCUCUGGGUGGAGCUCAUCACCUCGUUCACCAGCCUGGCGACAGCGCCUUCUGGAAGCAUUGCAGCAAGUGUGCCAUGAAGGAAUUCUCUGUAACCAAUUCUGGUAAUAAUUGGAUUAGAUACUUAUUAGCUGUAGAUUUGAAUAAAGCUGCAGUGUUGACUUCCUGUUCAAACGAACAAGGCUGCUUCACAGAAAGCAAAUGAUACCAGGUGAAGUUAACACCCAAGACUGCCUGGUAGGAUGCAGGUCAAGCUCGCGGUCGGAUUAUCUUGAAUUAGCAAACAAAACCUUGAAAUGACUAGCUCCAUUGUGUAGAACACGCUAUGCAUAUGCUUAUGGCCAGCAGACCAAAUAUACCUGCUUAAAUAAAAAAGUGGGCCUGAGACUUCAGGGUCUUGCUUUUAAAAGCACAGCAUGUGCAAGAUAAUUUAUCAAAACAGAAUCUUUUAUACUAAACCAAUGAUGUUAAGUGAAAUAUAACUGAUUUUGUAUUUUGGCUGGGACUGGAUAUGUACAUGUGUCUGCUUUUUUUUUUUUUUUUCUUUCCCC